rnacentral:rRNA from 1 species
CCCUUAGAUGUUCUGGGCGGCCCGCGCACUACAAUGGCGUGUGCAGCGAGUGCCGAAGUAGAGUUUUCCGAGGUAUUCUUGCAAUGCCCGUUUUGAUGGGGAUAGACCCUUGCAACUGUUGGUUUUGAACGAGGAAUUCCUUGUAAGCAUGGUUUAUCAUCCGACGCUGAAUGCGUCCCUGCCCUUUGUACACACCGCCCGUCGCUCCUACCGAUGAGUCGUCCGGUGAAGUUCGUAGACCUCGUGAUUGCGGAUCACUGGGGGAAGCAAAAUGAACCUCGCGGUUUAGAGGAAGGAGAAGUCGUAACA